GGGGCUGCUUUACAUAGCCAUGGUUUUCAGAAAACUCCAGUUUCUGAAGACAGACAUCUGCCCUGGGCACCUGACUCAAGGACCGCUUUGUGGGUAACUCUGCAUGGAGGCAUCUCAUCUCUUAGAAAUCCUGUCCCCACCCUGGUUCUCCUGCUGUGUGGACCUUGGGGGUCAGCAGAAGUCAUGUUGGAGGCUGACGAUCGGAAUCUCUUUGAGGCAGAAGACAAGAUAGGAAGAAUUGGGAGAAUGCGCUGCUGUGGCCGGUCAGCGUGACUCCUGGGUAGUUGCUGUGUAAGCUCCCCCUGGCUGUCACAGGUCCCUGAGUGCUCUCACCAUCAGGUACAUCUUUUGCCUUGGGCGGCAGUCCUCUCUCCUUCAAGAAAGCUGUUUUACCCAGGGACUCCGUAACAAGGACUGCUAAGGACAACAACAUGUUUCCAGGACUAAAUGAAGAGGGGAAUCUACCUCCUGAAGCCUAAACCAAUGUCCUCUGGCCUUAAGAUUUGGGGGAGCAGAUGCAUUGCUGGGUCCAGGUGGAGGGGAUGCCAGAACGCGAUCUCAGGUAAGAGAAAUCCGCAGUUCUCGCUUGGACUCAGAUGAGGUUUCAUCUCCUCAGAUACAGUCAGUAGCAGAAGAAAAAAGCAGGCUCAUGUUUUGGAGUCAGAUAAGUGGUUCCAAAACCAGGCUGCACAUCAGAAUCCCCUGGGGAACUUUAAAAACAGAGAAACAUCUAGGCAGUACCCCAGACAUCAUGAUUCAAAAUCUCCAUGGGUGGAGUCCAGAAAUCUGCAUUUUUCGAAACUCUGAUCAGGUGGUUCUGAAGUAACGUGCCUUAAUUGGUGGCUCGGUCUUUGGGAAUCCCUGGGUUUGAUAACACUGGUCAUAUUAAUCCUUACAUAGAAAAGUGAGUAAAAGGGAGAAAGGGAAGGAGAGAACCCAAAGACAAAUAGUGGUAUUUCAACAUGGCCUUAUGUUGCUGGUAAAAUGCCUGAACUGAGAAAGGAAGUUUGACAUUUUAUAACUUAUACAGAAUGCCAAGAAUUUCUUGAACUAAGUAACAUAAAUAGGGCCUCCUUGUCCUUUUUGCUUGAGUGAUAUGUGUGACCUCCAGAGGGGUCACAUACUAAACCUGAAAGCUUAGGGGAGGCCUGCAUAGUGGUGUUAUGGGGUGCAGAGCAGGGGUCUUCUGAGGAUAGCAGAAGGUAUCCCCCACAACUUUUGACUGGGGGAGGGUAGAAGUGGAUGAUACAGCAUUAAAGAUACUUUGCAUAACAAUGGCAAGUUAAUAGCUGUGCCUUUCCUGAAGGGAGGAGGGUGAUAGGAGUAUGUCCCCCAGUCCCAGUCUGCUCAGUUACAGUGGGACUUACAAAUUCAGAGACCUGAAGUAAUCAAAUAAGGUUGUCUGAACAUAAAAAUCCCUAAGUAAAAGAGGGUCAUGGUGGUAGUCACAACUUAGGCAAGGAAUUGUGGCAAUGCUAACAAAGAAGCACCUGCUUUUGACCCAGCAAUCCCACUUCUAGAAGUCUACCUCGAAGAUAUUCCUUCUACAGUACAAAAAUAUAAAAGCAAAGGUUAUUCAUUGUAGCACUGUUUAUAAUAGUAACUAUUGGAAAUAAUAAGUGCCUGUGGUAGGCAGAAUAGCCUCCCCAUCCCUGCAAGAAAUCCAUAUUCUGAACCUGAGGAUACAUCAACUCACAUGGAAGAAAGGACUUUGCAGAUGUGGUUAACUAAAGGAUUUGGAGAUGGGGAGAUUGUCUGGAAUUACCCAGAUGGGCCAGAUGUAAUCAAAAGGGUCCCUUCAAGUGAAAGAUGGAGGCAAGAGAGUCAGAGUUAGAGAGACAUGAAGAUGUUACACUGACACUGUUGGCUUAGACAAGGAGGAAGGGAACAUGAGCCACGGAAUUCAGGGGGCCUGUAAAAAAGGCUUCUCACUAUCUGAGAAAGAACUUGCAAAUAAAGAAAGGGGAAGGGCUGGAAGGAAAUAUCAUACUGAGUUGGAAUCAGAGGUAUCAGUAUGAACUCAUGGUUUAGCACACAGGUUGGGUCAAAAGCAGGUUUACAGUUGUGAGUAUGCA